rnacentral:lncRNA from 1 species
CGGGGCUCCUAGACCAGCUUCCCGGGAGGGCCAGAGAGUCCUGCCUGACUUUUAUGACCCAAGUCAGGAGAGGAGGAAGGAAGGUGAGUGUGGCUUCCUGCUUCUGCACUUUUCUCAAAUAGCUUCAGCUGAAAGUAUCGGGGGGUGAACCUCAUCACCCAUCACACCUCGCAGCCUAUGAACCAGCCUGGCAUCACCCAUCACACCCCACAGCCUGUGAACCAGCCUGGCAUCACCCAUCACACCCCACAGCCUGUGAACUAGCCUGGCAUCACCCAUCACACCCCACAGCCUGUGAACCAGCCUGGCAUCACCCAUCACACCUCACAGCCUGUGAACCAACCUGGCAUCACCCAUCACACCCCACAGCCUGUGAACCAGC